rnacentral:rRNA from 1 species
UACGUAGGGACCAAGCGUUGUUCGGAGUUACUGGGCGUAAAGGGUGCGUAGGCGGCUUUUUAAGUUUGGUGUGAAAUCUCCCGGCUCAACUGGGAGGGUGCGCCGAAUACUGAGAGGCUAGAGUGUGGGAGAGGAAAGUGGAAUUCCUGGUGUAGCGGUGAAAUGCGUAGAUAUCAGGAGGAACACCGGUGGUGUAAACGGCUUUCUGGACCAUAACUGACGCUGAUGCACGAAAGCGUGGGUAGCAAACAGG